rnacentral:rRNA from 1 species
CCUACGGGUGGCAGCAGUGAGGAAUAUUGGUCAAUGGGCGCGAGCCUGAACCAGCCAAGUAGCGUGAAGGAUGACUGCUCUACGGGUUGUAAACUUCUUUUAUAAAGGAAUAAAGUGAGGCACGUGUGCCUUUUUGUAUGUACUUUAUGAAUAAGGAUCGGCUAACUCCGUGCCAGCAGCCGCGGUAAUACGGAGGUUCCGAGCGUUAUCCGGAUUUAUUGGGUUUAAAGGGACAGUAGUUGGGUUGUUAAGCUAGUGGUGAAGGUUUGCGGCUCAACCGUAAAAUUGCAAUUGAUACUGGCAGCCUGGGGUACAGUUGAGGUAGGCGGAAUUCGUGGUGUAGCGGUGA